UGUACAAAAUCUCUCAAGCCGGAGAUUGAAAGGUGAGCGUAAUAAAAGGAGGAGUAGUGUUAUUGAAAAGAAGUUUGUUGUAGCUAGGGGGCUGAAA